GACGAACGCUGGCGGCGUGCCUAAUACAUGCAAGUCGAACGAACCGCGACUGAGUGCUUGCACUUGGUCAAGGUGAGUGGCGAACGGGUGAGUAACACGUGGGUAACCUACCUCAUAGUGGGGGAUAACAGUCGGAAACGACUGCUAAUACCGCAUAGGACAUAGGAUCACAUGAUCCAGUGAGGAAAGGUGGCGCAAGCUAUCGCUAAGAGAUGGACCCGCGGUGCAUUAGCUAGUUGGUAGGGUAAAGGCCUACCAAGGCGAUGAUGCAUAGCCGACCUGAGAGGGUGAUCGGCCACAUUGGGACUGAGACACGGCCCAAACUCCUACGGGAGGCAGCAGUAGGGAAUCUUCCGCAAUGGACGCAAGUCUGACGGAGCAACGCCGCGUGAGUGAGGAAGGUCUUCGGAUCGUAAAGCUCUGUUGUUAGAGAAGAACAGCGCAUAGAGUAACUGCUAUGCGUGUGACGGUAUCUAACCAGAAAGCCACGGCUAACUACGUG
rnacentral:rRNA from 1 species